rnacentral:rRNA from 2 species
UACGUAGGUGGCAAGCGUUGUCCGGAUUUACUGGGCGUAAAGGAUGCGUAGGUGGAUAUUUAAGUGGGAUGUGAAAUACCCGAGCUCAACUUGGGUGCUGCAUUCCAAACUGGAUAUCUAGAGUGCAGGAGAGGUAAGUGGAAUUCCUAGUGUAGCGGUGAAAUGCGUAGAGAUUAGGAAGAACACCAGUGGCGAAGGCGACUUACUGGACUGUAACUGACACUGAGGCAUGAAAGCGUGGGGAGCAAACAGG